rnacentral:lncRNA from 1 species
UGUGUAUAAAGCUUUUUGUUUCCACAUGGUAUAUUCUGUUCAAAGCUGAUUACUUCUACAUAUCAUUCCGAUUAAAUUAGCAAUCUAAUAGCUACUAUCUCUCCUAUUUAACAUUACGUUCCUGCUUCAAUCGAAUGCUUCUCCAUCUGUUUAGUGGUUGUAUAUAAGGUUUCAAAGUAGGGUUUGUUUUUUGUUUCUUGUUUAAUCGGAUGGGUUUGUUUUAUAUGUGGUGUAAUCACUAUGAGUUGGAUUGCGAUUUAUGAAUUAUGAGGGUUUCUGGGAUUUGCUUAUUAUAACUAGUUAUGCUUUCUGAAAUAACCAGAAUCAAAUAAUCAGUUGUAGCAAUUAGAAAAAUGAAAUGCAGGAGAUAGUGUUUGGAUUUGCUUCUGCUGUAGCACAAGACUCAGAUAAUCAGUGUUGUCAUUGUUUGGAAAUUCUGAUUAUUUAAUAACUUUAGAGGUCAAAUGAUAAUAAUCAGGUAAUCAGUUUGAAUAAAUAACUCUGAAACUGGAUACUCAAAACUGAUAAUUUCACCCUCAAAUAUAUACUCAUAAUCAAUUUGCCUUCAUGUAAACACUCAAACCUGACAUCUGUUGUAUCAAUACACAAUAAUCAGAUAGAGUUCUUAUAAGUUAUAAGAAAUCAGUCAAUCACAAACACUGGAGACU